rnacentral:rRNA from 1 species
GAUGAACGCUGGCGGCGUGCCUAAUACAUGCAAGUCGAGCGAACGGACGAGAAGCUUGCUUCUCUGAUGUUAGCGGCGGACGGGUGAGUAACACGUGGAUAACCUACCUAUAAGACUGGGAUAACUUCGGGAAACCGGAGCUAAUACCGGAUGAUAUUUUGAACCGCAUGGUUCAAAAGUGAAAGACGGUCUUGCUGUCACUUAUAGAUGGAUCCGCGCUGCAUUAGCUAGUUGGUAAGGUAACGGCUUACCAAGGCAACGAUGCAUAGCCGACCUGAGAGGGUGAUCGGCCACACUGGAACUGAGACACGGUCCAGAGUCCUACGGGAGGCAGCAGUAGGGAAUCUUCCGCAAUGGGCGAAAGCCUGACGGAGCAACACCGCGUGAGUGAUGAAGGUCUUCGGAUCGUAAAACUCUGUUAUUAGGGAAGAACAUAUGUGUAAGUAACUGUGCACAUCUUGACGGUACCUAAUCAGAAAGCCACGGCUAACUACGUG